rnacentral:rRNA from 1 species
AUUGAACGCUGGCGGCAGGCCUAACACAUGCAAGUCGAACGAGUGGCGGACGGGUGAGUAAUGUCUGGGAAACUGCCCGAUGGAGGGGGAUAACUACUGGAAACGGUAGCUAAUACCGCAUACUAUCGGAUGUGCCCAGAGGGGAUUAGCUAGUAGGUGGGGUAACGGCUCACCUGGGCGACGAUCCCUAGCUGGUCUGAGAGGAUGACCAGCAACACUGGACCUGAGAACCGGUCCAGCCUCCGCCGGGAGGCAGCAGUGGGGAAUAUUGCACAAUGGGGGCAAGCCUGAUGCAGCCAUGCGGCGUGUAUGAAGAAGGCCUUGGGGUUGUAAAGUACUUUCAGCGGGGAGGCGUUACCAGCAGAAUAAGCACCGGCUAACUACGUGCCAGCAGCCGCGGUAAUUC